UCCGAGAUUUUGAAGAGGAGUUUGAUUCUGGGGUUGUUCCAUUUUUUCUCUUUUCCAUAUUUGUAUACUUAGUUGAUCAGUCUGAAAUUAAGAGAACCCAAUUGGCCAUUGCAACAUAAAGCUUCAAUUUUUCUUUUUAUUCUUAUAAAGUUUGAAGCUUUUAUGGUGGGUGUUAGAGGAUAGGGCUCAGACCUUGAUGUUUUUUCCUUUUUCUUUUUGACAUUAAAGAUGGUAUUUUUUCUAUUGUUGCAAGAUUUUGUUUGUGUGCAGUUCAUUUACUGAGUUGAACUUUGUUUAACUGGUUGUAUGCAAUUUUUGCUCUUUCUCAUUUUGAAAUUUUCAAAAAAAGGUAUUUAAAUUUAAUUAUCAAGUUAAACUUAUUUGAAUGGCCAUUGAAGCUUUUUUCAAGUAUCCAUGUUGACAAAAAGCUCCAAGAAUCUCAAUUAAUCUUUGUUGGAAGCAUAUACUUCUUAAGUUUUAUCCAAACGUGGAUCAGUUUGCAUUUGAAUUUGUUUUUUUUUUUAAUUUACCUUGAAAUUGUUUAGGCUGUGUUAUUCUAGCUAAUAUUAUUGCUUCAUUCGGAAAAGGAAAAAAAAGAGAAGCUAAAGUAACUGAACAUGUUCAUCAUUUCUGAUUCUUCUCUUUGCCCUUUCUGCAUAAUCAUUUGAUCCAAAGUUUUGCAAUGCUAGUUUAGGAUGGAAUUUGUAGUUGAUCAUUAUGUUAGCAAUCAAGUGAAGGAAAAACUAACUAAUAGUAAUACCUGAUAUAAUGUGAACUGUUGAAAAUAGUAAAGUUAAAUGUUUACGUGUCUAGAUUCAAAUGUCUUUUAGUUAUCCUAGGUGCAUGGCCCUUUGUAUUAUCUAGGUGACUUUUAUAAUACUCCCUCCGGAUCAAAAAGAGUGUUCACCUACUCAUUUUCACACUCCUUAAGAAAAUACUAACUCUUAAGCAAAAAUAGGUAAUUUGACAAAACUAUCCAUAAUUAAAUAGGUAUUGGGAUUUGAUCACUUAUACUUAAUACGGCAAUUUUGAAAGAAUAAGGUUAAUUGUUUUUUGAUUUGGUAAGUGAACACUCUUUUUGAACCAAAAAAUAAAGGUUAGUGGAAGAUCUUUUUGAUCCGAAGGGAGUAUCAAUGUUGUCAGGUUCAAGUGUAUGUGUGAAUGUACUUAACAAGUGUGAGUCUAGAAGACUCUAGUAGCACCUAUAUAAACCCUCUUUUUAGUGAUGUUACGUAAGAGUGGAGUUUUCCUAAUGAUAUGAAUUGAGCUUAAUGUUUAUCUCCCUCUUCCUUCUUUGUGCCUAUUAUAUUAUCAAGAUCCGCCUUAUAUUUCCAACAUGAACAACGAAUGAGACGUCUUUUCUUUUUCUAGUUUUGUCCCUAUAAUUUUAUUAUUUACAAUAUGUUGGUCAAACGUAUUAAUGCAUCACACUUCUUUAGCUGAAUGUGUUCCUAGGAAUGCCUUUGAGAAAUUGGUUGAUGAUACGGGAAUUUGAACAUAGCUUCUAGAAGUGGGCCAUGCUUUGCAGCAGUGGCUAGUCGAUGAAAGCUGUUUUUGUUAACGUCAACAUUGAAUGAUGUAAUGUGGUUCUCUAUUUUGACAUACUAGACCUGUUUUUGACAUAAGUGUUUAUUGGCCCAGGCUGGAGGUAGUUCCAGGUUUGCAUGUGGAUUGAACAGAUAAAAGUGGUUUCCUAUGAUAUUAAUGCUAGUAAACCUAUUUGGCUAUUACGACGUUAUGAGCUCAUUUAGUUCUCCAGUUCUUCUAAUUAUAUGUUUUCUCUUGCUAGUAAGGUUGAUACCCAGCUUGUGAGUUAGUUUUUCUAUUUGAAUCCCUCCUUUCUAAGUAUGCUGGUUGCAUAUGUGUAAAUCAGGGUUAAUGACUUGUAGAGCAUCCGUUAAGUUCUGGUUAAUGCUUUACACUGAGUGGGUUGCUUACGUUCAGGUUCAGUUCCUGUUAAACGUGUCAUUAAACUCUCUUCAUCUCUUUUCUUUAUUAUCUACCUCUUAACAGUAGGUAUAACCAAUAGUAUAUAGAUACUAAAAGCACUUUUCCUUGGUAUCUGCACAUUCUGUAAUAGACUGUUUAUAGGUUAUAUGAAGUACUAUGACAUGCAGAUUACGGUAUUUCUCUGUAUUUUUUUCAUGCCCUAGGGUUCCUUCUUUUUUCAAUUUUCAACCUUUUCUGGUAGUUGUUCUUUUUGGCCUUUUUCCUACCUGAGUUCUUCUAGCUUUUAUUGUUGGCAGAAUAAGUUGGAUAAACAUUGAAGGUUUAUGGUAUGCGUCUGGUGAAGACACUGUGAACAUGGAAGUUAGUAAAUGUCAAACAUGUAAUGCUUUACAUCCUGAAAAGAAGGUUAAGAGAAUAAUUUGGAAGCGUUCCAAGGAGAAACCGAAUGAGAAAGACGUAUGUCGUUGAUGAAGAUGGAAGGCAAUGUGAAAAAGAGGCCCCGUUCUGAUUCAAUGACCAGUGAUUUAGACGGGCAUGAUGUCCCUUCUACCUCUUCCCAACUUGGAAGUAUGUAAUUUGUUGAUCCUGUUGUCUUGAAUGGAACAGCAUGUGAAGGGGAAACUGGACCACCUGUUGGAGUUGUUGAUAUUGGUGUUAGCUUAUCUGAAUCUAUGUUGCUUGGACUCUCCAACAAUGUUGCCGCACCCAUGUCAGAUUCUCCAAAAAUGCACUGCUUUUGGAGUAUCCGACACGCACCCGUCCACAUUUUUGAAGAGUCUGAGCAACACAGAUCUGCAUACUAUUUUCGUAUUGCUGUACCUGGAGUCAAGAAAGAUCCUGCCAAAUGGCAGCAGAGAUGUGUGUUUUAUUCAGUGUGGCAAUUCAAGCUUGAUUCAAAAUGUCACUCCUAGCUGGGACACUUGCUUUUCCAUGCCUUCACCAGCUGCUUUAAGAGUAAGGGUACACUCACUUUGACACGCUUCUUUGGGUGACUUCUACUAGGAAGGAAUUUCGAAGGAAACGCUGGUGAAAGACUGAAUACUUGAAUAUGCGUACAAAAAGGCCAGCGUGCUGCAAAUAUCCAUAUGAAUGCGAACCAGAAGAUGUCGUACAAACUGGAGCAGCCCAAGAGGGGAGAGCAGAAUUUCCUAAUGAGCCAGUGACUCUCUUUGUUACCAAAGAUUCUUACAAGUAUAAGGUUGUCCUGCCGGAUGUCCUGAGAAACCUGUGCAAAUUGUUGGUUGAUGUUCAGUAUAAUGGGGAAUUCAAGGUAGGAGGGAUGGUAAGUGCUGGUGAAAUAACAAGCACUGUGGCGCCAAUUACGCUUAUUAGAAACACUCGACGGAUAUUUCCUCCUGGUCACUUCACUAUCAGUUUCACUUUGCCAAUACCUGCUGAUCCAGAGAGUUUAACAGCCUGGUUACUCUCAGAUGGUGUUUUGGAAGUGUGUUGCUUGGAAUUUCUGAAAGUGAUGGCGAUAGUGAGAUGAUUGAAAUGUCCAGAAAUCCGCCCUGGAUAAUCUGUUGCUUGUUUUUCUUAUCCCAUUGAUGAGAAUGAUGUCUGGGGAAGUAGGAACUUCCGAAUUUUCGCAACCAAACUCAUGGGAUGAGCAAGUGAAAGUUGUAUAUUUUGUGUACAUGUAAGAGCCAAACGUAUAUUGGGUUCUUGUAAAUGUGGCAGUGCUAGUUUUUGCAAAACUAUCAGCUAUUUUUGCGUUGUAACUAACUAUCAUAUUGCUGAAGCACUUCAAUGUUGGAAGUGACCAAAUGUAUUUUGCUUUCUUGUAAAUGUAGUGGUCACCUUUUCUGUACAAGUAAGCUUCAAAGUUACUAAGUAGCAAGUAAAUAUUUUGGUGUUGAACAAUGCCACAUUCAAAGUUGUACUUUUCAUGGAUAUAAAUAUAGUUCUGGUAUCUUUUCUUCUGUUUAGA